rnacentral:rRNA from 1 species
GACGAACGCUGGCGGCGUGCUUAACACAUGCAAGUCGAGCGGUAAGGCCCUUUCGGGGGUACACGAGCGGCGAACGGGUGAGUAACACGUGGGUGACCUGCCCUCAGCUCUGGGAUAAGCCUGGGAAACCGGGUCUAAUACUGGAUAUGACUCCAUGACGCAUGUUGUGGGGUGGAAAGCCUUGUGCGGCUGAGGAUGGGCCCGCGGCCUAUCAGCUUGUUGGUGGGGUGANGGCCUACCAAGGCGACGACGGGUAGCCGGCCUGAGAGGGCGACCGGCCACACUGGGACUGGGACACGGCCCAGACUCCUACGGGAGGCAGCAGUGGGGAAUCUUGCGCAAUGGGCGAAAGCCUGACGCAGCGACGCCGCGUGAGGGAUGACGGCCUGGU